rnacentral:rRNA from 1 species
AUGCCUACGGGGCGCAGCAGUGAGGAAUAUUGGUCAAUGGGCGCGAGCCUGAACCAGCCAAGUCGCGUGAGGGAUGACGGCCCUACGGGUUGUAAACCUCUUUUGCCGGGGAGCAACGGGCGCCACGUGUGGCGCCACUGAGAGUACCCGGAGAAAAAGCAUCGGCUAACUCCGUGCCAGCAGCCGCGGUAAUACGGAGGAUGCGAGCGUUAUCCGGAUUUAUUGGGUUUAAAGGGUGCGCAGGCGGAAUGUCAAGUCAGCGGUAAAAUUUCGGGGCUCAACCCCGUCGUGCCGUUGAAACUGGC